rnacentral:lncRNA from 1 species
GACGAAAGCUUCAAGAAUUGAGUGAGCCAAGGGGUGAAGAGAGACCUUAGAUAUAUAUCCAAUGUUUGUAUUCUUCAUGGUUUUGUUGUGCACAAACCAACUCUUUUGGCAAUGCACAUGAAAGAUUUUGACCAGUGUAUAGUCCUGCACUUGUCUCCACUGAAAAUGCAAGGAUUGGGAGGCAUUAGGAAAUGCAGUAGUUCUGAGACCGUGUAUACUGGCAUACGGCGAACGUGUACGAUUUCAAUAUGUGUGGCUUCGGAUUGUCCUGCCGUGAUCUCCAUGAUUGGUUCGGAAGUCUCAUGCCACUUCACUUGUGUUAUCAAUGAGAUAAACCAUCGGACUAGUUCCUUUCAUGAUAUCCGUUUUGUUCAUGAGGGUAGGAAGUAGCCGAAGCGCAUGCUCUUGCAAAAACAGCGGCUUCUUUGUCUCCCCGGCGUCACCUGUGGCUUCUCUCUACGCCCGAUAUAAUCUGUAUCCCUAUGAACAUCCAAACUUAAUAAAGAUUAUAGAUGCUCAAAAAACGUGGGUAUAACUUGUUAAAAGUUUAUAUUAGCCUUUAUACAUUUUAUGAGGAGAGUAAUAUCGAAGCGGGACUCUAACAUGAUUAUGUGAUUAAAGUUUUACACGAGCCUUACACUUCUAAAGUGCAAUUUAGUAAUUUGGAAUUCAGUGCAAUUUUCUAUUGGUUCACCCCCUCCUUCAUCCAAGCCGGGCGAUCACUCUGACAUUGCAGAGUGUGUUGAGGUGUUUGUAAUAAGCAUCAUCACAAGUGCAACUUAACUUGAUACAAACUUCAAACGUCUUAAGUGCAGUUGGCAUAUGGAGUUGGUCUGAAGCAUAUUGCAGCUUAGCAAAAUGCCAACAGCCUUUGGGUCGUACUUCAAAAAAAAUAUAAGAGUGUUUAGAUCACUAUUUUAGCGAUCUAAACGUUUUUAUAUUUCUUUACAGAGGGAGUACUUUAUUGUGGGCUAAAGACUAUUGAUAUUGAGGUGUUGCAUUUGCAUCGUACUAGCAUUUCAUAAUAAAUGAAACUGAAUUGUUGCUUCUUUAUAAGUUCAUGACGGGGACAAGAGAUGCUCUACGAGAUAUCGACGAAAGCUUCAAGAAUUGAGUGAGCCAAGGGGUGAAGAGAGACCUUAGAUAUAUAUCCAAUGAUUGUAUUCUUCAUGAUUUUCUUUUGCACAAACCAACUCUUUGGCACUGCGCAUGAAAGAUUUUGACCAGUGUAUAGUCCUGCACUUGUCUCCACUGAAAACGCAAGGAUUGGGAGGCAUUAGGAAAUGCAGUAGUUCUGAGACCGUGUAUACUGGCACGCGGCGAACGUGUACGAUUUCAUUAAGCAUGAUGCUCAGUAAAGCCUUGAGCUACAAUUACGCGUGUGCUUGUCUUGAUUCAGGGCACUGAGAAAUAAAUUAUUUAUUACAUGAUGAAAUUGAUGUUCUUCAGGAUGAAAUCUCUUCCUCCUCUCCACGUCAAUUGUGUUCUUGGCAAAACUGCAUCUCCAUGUGCAUGACAAGAACUUUCUAGGAAUAUUUUUUGCUUUAUGUAGGCUGUAGGGUCAUUAGGCACCCAUUUUGUGCUACUUUACUCGUUGAAAAAUAAAUGGUUUUAAUAACAAUAAAAAUAUUGCAAGGAGAGAACUGAACCAUG